rnacentral:rRNA from 1 species
AUUGAACGCUGGCGGCAUGCCUUACACAUGCAAGUCGAACGGCAGCACGGACUUCGGUCUGGUGGCGAGUGGCGAACGGGUGAGUAAUACAUCGGAACGUGCCCAGUAAUGGGGGAUAACGCAGCGAAAGUUGUGCUAAUACCGCAUACGCCCUGAGGGGGAAAGUGGGGGAUCGCAAGACCUCAUGUUAUUGGAGCGGCCGAUGGCUGAUUAGCUAGGUGGUGAGGUAAAGGCUCACCAAGGCGACGAUCAGUAGCUGGUCUGAGAGGACGACCAGCCACACUGGGACUGAGACACGGCCCAGACUCCUACGGGAGGCAGCAGUGGGGAAUUUUGGACAAUGGGCGAAAGCCUGAUCCAGCAAUGCCGCGUGUGCGAAGAAGGCCUUCGGGUUGUAAAGCACUUUUGUCAGGGAAGAAAACUGUUUGGCUAAUACCCGGAUAGGAUGACGGUACCUGAAGAAUAAGCACCGGCUAACUACGUGCCAGCCGCCGCGGUAA